GGCGGUUCUCAGGUGAUGCACCCCAGAAUCGGACUCCCUCCUCUCUGAUUCCAGGGUGCAUAACUGAGAACCAUC
rfam:Myotis lucifugus cont2.142, whole genome shotgun sequence.